rnacentral:rRNA from 1 species
CCUACGGGCGGCAGCAGUGAGGAAUAUUGGUCAAUGGACGAGAGUCUGAACCAGCCAAGUAGCGUGAAGGAUGACAGCCCUAUGGGUUGUAAACUUCUUUUAUAGGGGAAUAAAACAGGGUAUGCAUACGCUCUUGUAUGUACCAUAUGAAUAAGGAACGGCUAACUCCGUGCCAGCAGCCGCGGUAAUACGGAGGAUCCGAGCGUUAUCCGGAUUUAUUGGGUUUCAAGGGAGCGUAGGGGGUUUGUUAAGUCAGUUGUUAAAGUUUGCGGCUCAACCGGAAAAUUGCCGUUGAAACUGGCAGUCUUGAGUACAGUAGAGGUGGGCGGAAUUCGUGGUGUAGCGGUGACAUGC